AUUGAACGCUGGCGGCAGGCCUAACACAUGCAAGUCGAGCGGAUGAAGGGAACUUGCUCCUGGAUUCAGCGGCGGACGGGUGGGUGAUGCCUAGGUAUCUACCUUGUCGUUGGGGCUAACGUCCGGACACGGGCGCUGAUACCGCAUACGUCCUUAUGUUGAACCUGGUGGUUCUUCGGACCUCGACGUUCUAGCUGUGCCUAAGUGGGAUUAGCUAGUUGGUUGGGUUAAGGCCUACCAAGGCGACGAUCCGUAACUGGUCUGAGAGGAUGAUCUGUCACACUGGAACUGAGACACGGUCCAGACUCCUACGGGAGGCAGCAGUGGGGAAUAUUGGACAAUGGGCGAAAGCCUGAUCCAGCAAUGCCGCGUGUGUGAAGAAGGUCUUCGGAUUGUAAAGCACUGUAAGUUGGGAAGAAGGGAAGUAAGUUAAUACCUUGCUGUUUUGACGGUACCAAAAGAAUAAGCACCGGCUAACUUCGUG
rnacentral:rRNA from 1 species